GACAGAGGAUGGCAAGCGUUAUCCGGAAUGAUUGGGCGUAAAGCGUCUGUAGGUGGCUUUUAAGUCCGCCGUCAAAUCCCAGGCUCAACCCUGGACAGGCGGUGGAAACUACCAAGCUGGAGUACGGUAGGGCAGAGGGAAUUUCCGGUGGAGCGGUGAAAUGCGGUAGAGAGUCGGAAAAGAACACCAACGGCGAAAGCACUCUGCUGGGCCGACACUGACACUGGAGAGACGAAAGCUAGGGGAGCGAAUGGG
rnacentral:rRNA from 1 species